rnacentral:tRNA from 1 species
GGGGGUGUAGCUCAGUUGGUUUAGAGCGUCUGCCUGUCACGCAGAAGGCCGCGAGUUCAAGUCUCGUCACUCCCGCCA